rnacentral:rRNA from 1 species
CAGUAGCCGCGGGAAUACGAAGGGGGCUAGCGUUGUUCGGAUUUACUGGGCGUAAAGCGCACGUAGGCGGACUUUUAAGUCAGGGGUGAAAUCCCGGGGCUCAACCCCGGAACUGCCUUUGAUACUGGAAGUCUUGAGUAUGGUAGAGGUGAGUGGAAUUCCGAGUGUAGAGGUGAAAUUCGUAGAUAUUCGGAGGAACACCAGUGGCGAAGGCGGCUCACUGGACCAUUACUGACGCUGAGGUGCGAAAGCGUGGGGAGCAAACAGGAUUAGAUACCCGCGUAGUCCCUGUCUCUUAUAA